rnacentral:rRNA from 1 species
CUACGGGGUGCAGCAGCGAGGAAUAUUGCACAAUGGGGGGAACCCUGAUGCAGCAACGCCGCGUGGAGGAUGACGCAUUUCGGUGUGUAAACUCCUUUUAUAUGUCAAGAAAAUGACGGUAGCAUAUGAAUAAGCACCGGCUAACUCCGUGCCAGCAGCCGCGGUAAUACGGAGGGUGCAAGCGUUACUCGGAAUCACUGGGCGUAAAGGACGCGUAGGCGGGUUGGAAAGUCAGGUGUGAAAUCCUACAGCUUAACUGUAGAACUGCACUUGAAACUUCUAAUCUAGAGUAUGGGAGGGGGAGAUGGAAUUAGUGGUGUAGGGGUAAAAUCCGUGGAUAUCACUAGGAAUACCUAAAGCGAAGGCGAUCUCCUGGAACAUUACUGACGCUAAGGCGUGAAAGCGUGGGGAGCAAACAGGAUUAGAUACCCGCGUAGUC